rnacentral:rRNA from 1 species
AGUGAACGCUGGCGGUAGGCCUAACACAUGCAAGUCGAACGGCAGCACAGUAAGAGCUUGCUCUUACGGGUGGCGAGUGGCGGACGGGUGAGGCAUACAUCGGAAUCUACUUUUUCGUGGGGGAUAACGUAGGGAAACUUCCGCUAAUACCGCAUACGACCUACGGGUGAAAGCAGGGGAUCUUCGGACCUUUCGCGAUUGUAUUAGCCGAUGUCGGAUUAGCUAGUUGGCGGGGUAAAGGCCCACCAAGGCAACGAUCCGUAGCUGGUCUGAGAGGAUGAUCAGCCACACUGGAACUGAGACACGGUCCAGACUCCUACGGGAGGCAGCAGUGGGGAAUAUUGGACAAUGGGCGCAAGCCUGAUCCAGCCAUACCGCGUGGGUGAAGAAGGCCUUCGGGUUGUAAAGCCCUUUUGUUGGGAAAGAAAAGCAGCAGGUUAAUACGCCGCUGUUCUGACGGUACCCAAAGAAUAAGCACCGGCUAACUUCGUG